GACGAACGCUGGCGGCGUGCUUAACACAUGCAAGUCGAACGGAAAGGCCCUGCUUUUGUGGGGUGCUCGAGUGGCGAACGGGUGAGUAACACGUGAGUAACCUGCCCUUGACUUUGGGAUAACUUCAGGAAACUGGGGCUAAUACCGGAUAGGAGCUCCUGCUGCAUGGUGGGGGUUGGAAAGUUUCGGCGGUUGGGGAUGGACUCGCGGCUUAUCAGCUUGUUGGUGGGGUAGUGGCUUACCAAGGCUUUGACGGGUAGCCGGCCUGAGAGGGUGACCGGACCCAUUGGGACUGGGCUACGGCCCAGACUCCUAUGGGAGGCAGCGGUGGGGAAGAUUGCACUAUGGGCGGAAGCCUGAUGCAGCAACGCCGCGUGCGGGAUGACGGCCUUCGGGUUGUAAUCCGCUUUCGCCUGUGACGAAGCGUGAGUGACGGUAAUGGGUAAAGAAGCACCGGCUAACUACGUG
rnacentral:rRNA from 1 species